GCCGCUGUGGUGAAAUGGUAAACACAGCAGACUUAAAAUCUGCUGGGAGGUAACUCCCUUGCCGGUUCGAGUCCGGCCAGCGGCACCC
rnacentral:tRNA from 2 species